rfam:Tauraco erythrolophus contig29657, whole genome shotgun sequence.
CCAAAGGCUCUUUUAAGAGCCACUCCAUGCACAACAAAGAGAGCUGU